rnacentral:rRNA from 1 species
AGAGUUUGAUCCUGGCUCAGGAUGAACGCUGGCGGCGUGCCUAAUACAUGCAAGUCGAGCGAACUGAUUAGAAGCUUGCUUCUAUGACGUUAGCGGCGGACGGGUGAGUAACACGUGGGCAACCUGCCUGUAAGACUGGGAUAACUUCGGGAAACCGAAGCUAAUACCGGAUAGGAUCUUCUCCUUCAUGGGAGAUGAUUGAAAGAUGGUUUCGGCUAUCACUUACAGAUGGGCCCGCGGUGCAUUAGCUAGUUGGUGAGGUAACGGCUCACCAAGGCAACGAUGCAUAGCCGACCUGAGAGGGUGAUCGGCCACACUGGGACUGAGACACGGCCCAGACUCCUACGGGAGGCAGCAGUAGGGAAUCUUCCGCAAUGGACGAAAGUCUGACGGAGCAACGCCGCGUGAGUGAUGAAGGCUUUCGGGUCGUAAAACUCUGUUGUUAGGGAAGAACAAGUAUGAGAGUAACUGCUCGUACCUUGACGGUACCUAACCAGAAAGCCACGGCUAACUACGUGCCAGCAGCCGCGGUAAUACGUAGGUGGCAAGCGUUAUCCGGAAUUAUUGGGCAUAAAGCGCGCGCAGGCGGUUUCUUAAGUCUGAUGUGAAA